GGGUUUGCUUUGGCAACACAUAUACCAAAAUUGAAGUGAUACAGAGAUUAGCAUGGCCCCUGUGCAAGGACAAAUGUCCAUUAGUGAUUACCUAGUACUA
ensembl:snRNA U6 U6 spliceosomal RNA